rnacentral:misc_RNA from 1 species
UCCGGAUCUAAACAAUGU